rnacentral:rRNA from 1 species
GCGAACCGGGGGAACUGAAACAUCUAAGUACCCCGAGGAAAAGAAAUCAACCGAGAUUCCGAAAGUAGCGGCGAGCGAAAUUGGACUAGCCCUUAAGCUUUACACGCGUUAGACGAACAGCCUGGAAAGGCCGACGAUACAGGGUGAUAGUCCCGUAGUUGACGACGUGUGUUCAGUGAAAUCGAGUAGGGCGGGACACGUGAUAUCCUGUCUGAAUAUGGGGGGACCAUCCUCCAAGGCUAAAUACUACUGACUGACCGAUAGUGAACCAGUACCGUGAGGGAAAGGCGAAAAGAACCCCUGUGAGGGGAGUGAAAUAGAACCUGAAACCGUGUACGUACAAGCAGUAGGAGCAGGCUUUGUCCUGUGACUGCGUACCUUUUGUAUAAUGGGUCAGCGACUUAUAUUCAGUGGCAAGGUUAACCAUCUAGGGGAGCCGUAGGGAAACCGAGUCUUAACUGGGCGUUCAGUCUCUGGAUAUAGACCCGAAACCAGGUGAUCUAGCCAUGGGCAGGUUGAAGGUUGAGUAACAUCAACUGGAGGACCGAACCGACUAAUGUUGAAAAAUUAGCGGAUGACUUGUGGCUAGGGGUGAAAGGCCAAUCAAACCUGGAGAUAGCUGGUUCUCCCCGAAAGCUAUUUAGGUAGCGCCUCGGACGAAUACUACUGGGGGUAGAGCACUGUUAAGGCUAGGGGGUCAUCCCGACUUACCAA